rnacentral:rRNA from 1 species
AUAUGGUGAAAUUGGAUUACCUACUUUGCUAUAUGUUCUUAAUGAAAUAUACGAGCCCACCAAUCUUGAUUGAACAGUUUGGAUUUCUUGAUUGCGUUAAUGCAGGAUUGCCUUAACCUUAACCCAAAACCGUCAUAUGGCCUUGUAGGAUGUCAAUAUUCCAUCUUAAUCAGGGUUAAGCAACUAGUCUAAACUGUUAUGAAACAAAUAUCCUAAAUGCUAGACAUCAUGAGAUAAAGAAGUACCUUAAUGACAUCACAGCUGCUGCUAAAGACACCCCAGCAACAGAAUUGAAAUUUGGAAGCUGAGACAGGAAGAAAUGGAUGGCACCAAAAAUCAGAAUCCAGUAAGUUUGCUUGAGUUGUGUGCAAUUGGUGCAUGCUAACUCUGUAAACUUCUUUAGGCACUGCCCCCCAAUAACCAUGUAGACAAUGUCACACCCAACUUGAACAAUAAGUUGCUGGGGGAGCACAAUCCAGGGUCCAAGUUUUGGUCCAAAAGCAUGUCGACCAAGAUCAAUAUAGCGAUCGAAACGAGUUCCCGGAACACACUCAUGUAGCUGGAUCAUUUGCCACAUUGAGUUUAAAGUCAGACACCAUGAUAGCAUCAACAACAAGAUCCCUGGAACCCUACAGAGAAGAGAAAAAGAUAAACUUUCAGCAGGAAAUUUGUCAAAUUGCCAACUUUUUGUGUGGGGUUGAAGCUAGUUCUUCAAGUUUACCAUCCUAGAUAUGCCAUGGCAUAUGGCAGGCCAAGAACACCUGCCCCUAUCAUGGCUGUCACUGUGUGGAAAGUUGAGUACCACCAUUUGGCGUCGCGAGAGGGGCCAUUCUCCACCCAUUUUCCUUCUGAUUGAGCUUCCUGCAACUGGACAAGAUGCAAAAACAAUAAGAGAAAAUAUGAUAUAAAAAUAUUCAUAUAAUCUUUACUUAACAAAUUAUGUUUAUAGCUGGUUGUAUCGGAGUCUUUAUGACUAAAUAGUCUAGAAUUUCAAUACAAGGUAUGUGUGCAUGUGCAUUUUGAAAUAGUAUAAGCUAUUUGUGUGAUAUUUACUCAACAUUUUAAGCUUUUGAAAUAGUGGGUUAAUGAGAAUAACAAUUGCAAGAGACCUUGCUGAGUGAUUAUGGAUAUGCACUGAAAUGGAAUUACCUUAGAAGGUGGAGAAGGAGCAGAAACCAUUUUAGCUAGCUCACAAAUCAAAGCAGACAAAGAAGACAAUGAUUUUGGAGUUCAAGUGAAGUACAUCAGCUAUGUAUAUAUAUGUGUGUGGUGAUUAAUUGACGUGUAAAAAAUAUUUGAUGCAAUAAUUUUAUAAACAUCUUGACCCUACUACAUAGUGACUUAACACUUUCAUAUCCAACUUUGCACUAUUUUAGGCUUUUAGCUUCAUCUCUGCCUAUAAAGCCUUUUUGGCUUAAAUCAAAUCAAAAUAAAAGAUGAGUGUAUUCAAAGAACAACAAGUUUGGGAGAAACAGGAAGUCUGAUCACUUGAUAAGUUGCAAGAUAUGGUCAACCCACUAAAUCCAACAGUCAAUGGGAGGUUAGUGAGGAAUUACUUUCACAUCACUAUCUGAUUCUGAUAAUACUUAAGCCUAACCCAAAUGCUGCCUUGUUACAAUGUAUGGGAGCUGUGGAGUUUAGAGUAAUAAUUUUCCUUUGUGGAUUCACUUUGUUAAAAUAUAUAACUCAAGAGAAUACUUUUUAUGAUGGAACAUCAUAUCAUAAAAACUUGCACUUUUUAUUAGGGGAGGUGAGUGAAUUGGUCUGAUGGCCAAAGAAUCAGUAUUGAGAAGAUCACAUAUAUUAUUAAUAUGUAAUGUAAAAGUGGCCGAAUCCUGAAGGUAAUGAGAAUUUUGAAAGAUUAAUUUAAUUUUGGAAUAAUGGGAAGGUUUUGCUUUGCAGGUAAGAGGGUAAGGCAUAUAAUCUUUCAUCAUUACACAUCUUGACAGUGGUAUUUUUUUUAUCCUUGGAAAUUAAGCCACUAAAUUCUGGGCUAAUAUGAUUGAAUUUUAUGAAUGCUAUUCUUGUCAAGUUAGUGGAGGGGAGGGGUCUCAUCAUCCUUCUUUGUGAAUGGCUACAACAUGUACUACCAGAAAUAGUAGUUAUUUGGCCCAUCUUAUCAUGGUUCUACUCUUGCCGCCAAGAAGAAAAUGAACCACAUCAGAUGUUAAGGAACCCACUUAGUGUGUAUUUGUUUAUUCAUUGAAUUGAAUGUGAAUGGAUUUUUUUUUUCAAUCCAACUUGGCUUAGUUGAAAAAACUGUAUUGGAAAUCAAAUAUGUUUGUUGAAUGUGGUUUCAACCAACCAACACACUCUUUAAGACUUCAUAUAUAAUUCAAUUGUUUUGGUGCAAAAAAUCAUUAUUCGAGAGUCAUUAUUAUGGGGUUGACUAACUAGAUUUAUAUGGAUUCAGUUCUAGUAAUACUAAUAGCAAAAAGGAAGAUUGACUACAAGACCCACAUUAAGCACGGAUGAAAGUCGGAUUUAGUGAUCCUACAUUGCAAAGUAGAAGGGUCGUGCUCAAUAGAUAAAAGUUACUUUAGGGAUAACAGACUAAUUUUCCCCAUAAGUUCAUAUCAAUGGAAAGGUUUGGCACCUCGAUGUCGGCUCUUUGCCAUUUAGAGCUGGGUUGUAGUGUGUUCUAAGGGUUAGGUUGUUCGCCCAUUAAUGAGUUAAGCUGGAUUCAAAGCGUCGUGAGACGAUUCAGCCCAUAUCCAAUGUACCGGGUGUUAGAGCAUUGAGAAGACCUUACACACCUGAUGCUUCAGUAUUAUAGGAAAAUAAAACCAAAACACAAUCAUCAAACAAUAAUAUAACGUGAAAAAUUCCAAAAAGUCAAGAAAUAAACGUGAUCUGUCACUAUGUGCAUGCAAGUUCUUACAACAUAUAGACUUCACUCUCAAACACUUUAUGAAUGCAUUAAACUCACACUUUCCAAAGUAAAUAUUUAAAAUAUUUAAAUUGAAUAAUUAUUUCUU